CAGACAGGUAACAGACAGGUGAGAGACAGACAGACAGGUGAGAGACAGACAGGUGAGAGAGAGACAGGUAACAGACAGACAGGUAACAGACAGGUGAGAGACAGACAGACAGGUGAGAGACAGACAGGUGAGAGAGAGACAGGUAACAGACAGACAGGUCAGAGACAGACAGGUAACAGACAGG